rnacentral:lncRNA from 1 species
AGAAUGCAGACCUGCCGGUGCAUGCCCUGUCAGUACCUUCCACAUUCAGGUCUUGAGGUGUGACCAUGAGGGCAGUGCAUCUGAUGGUAACUUCUUGUGGGUGUUUGCUUCUAGUUGUGGACACAGAGAGUGCUCUUUCAGCCCCUGAGCUAGAGCCAGAUUCCAUGCUGAUUCCAAGCUGGUAUCUCAAGCGUGAGUAGUCAAGUCUCUACUGCCUUACAAGAAUGAACACUCCAUUAUCCUACUUACUCAUGGGAAAUGUACCUUCAUAGGUUAACCUUCUUUUGUAACUCUAACCUAGGGAAGAAUGAUGACAAGGUCCCUGAAGAAUUCCCUGAAGGAGUCCCUGAAGUUCCAGAGGAGCUUCCGACAGCCUUGGAUGAAGCCUCAUCUGGGUCAGCUACUGUGCAAAAAGCCAAGACUGCUGGACAGUGGGAACUCAAUAAGAACUAUAUCCUAGCGUCUGUAGUAGUUUCAGCUGUACUGCUGCUUGCAGGAGUGGUUGGGUACAUAGUCAUGGGUCAGCUUCUGAAGAGAGACACGAGGAUUCAGGGAGACGAAGAAGCAUCAACAGAAACCCACACUUAAUUCCUGUUUGGCCAGCAAAGAUUAGAGUAAAACUAAUGGCAAAGCAGAGUGAGGAGAAUGCCCAGGAGGGAUCAAGAAUGUCCAAGCCAACAAGUUCAACAACAGUUGCAACCUGUCACCAGAGAUCUCUGUGGCAGAGCUCACCCAGCUGUACAAGACCAUGGGUGCAGACCCCUAACUUCUGCCUGUUGCAGGUGCCAUUUGUCUGAUGGUGCCUUUUCACAGGUGUUCUAG